CUCAGUUCGGCCUUGCAGGCUAGCCGGAGGGCGUGGCUGGAGGAAGAGCUGAGACUCCCCGAGACCCGCGGUGCCCACUCACAAUCACUGUGGGCUCUUCCUGCCAGCCCCCACUCUGGGCUUCCAAACUUGGAAGAGGCCCGUGGGAUCUGGCGUGACCCUGGGGAUGGAAGAAGCGGAGCCUCGAGUGGCAUCAGUCAGAGCCUCCGGCUCUCUGGCGGAAGGGAGGGAGGGAUCCAGCCCUCCGCCUUAGCCUCUAAAGGAAGGAGGUGCGGCAGUAGGUGAUGGUGCCCGCAGCUAUGGAAAUCUUCAGCUUCUCCAAGCAGGGGGACAGUUCGAACUCCUGCAGGGUAUAUGCGCCAACUUUCUGUCGUGAGAGCGGCAAAAAGAAACCUAGGCUUUUUGAGGAGAGGCACUGGUCCCCUCUCCGACUCGUCCAGCCCCAGGGGCACUCUGGGAUCAGUCUCUCUUCUGGACCGUGUGUUCCCCAGCCGCAGAACUCUUCCACUUGUACUCACAGCCCCACCUGCAGCAAAUAGCUUCUGUGGAGGGACUGAGGGGUCAGCUCAGGUCCUGGUGGGAGCCCUGACUUUCUCUCUACAAGGAUGCCGUUUGUUACUGGUUCAAUUUGGCGCAUUGAUGCUGAGGCCUGAUGCACCCUGUGUUUAACCAGGAGAUAAUGAUUACUGUUGUUGCUGGGGAGGGCACCUAACAGAAAAGUGAUCGUAUUUUGUGGGACCAGGUGGGUCCUCAAACUGUGACUAUCCACACUCACAUUCAGCUGCAGAAGCAGAAAAACAGUUGGAAUUUCCAUCUUUCUUCCACUUGUCCUUUCUUCUCCAAAUCUUCCUCCUUCCCUUCUCACCCAUUCCCUUGUUUCUGAGGACCUCUAACUGAGUCUCAGCCUCUGUACUUGCCUCUUGGAUCCAGACCCACUGUGGCCCUUGUCUCGGCACACGAAUUGAGACUGCCAGCAUGGUGGCCGUAUAUGCUCAGCCCUCUCCAAGGUCUCUUUCCUGCUGAGUCUAGUAUAUAGGAAAAGCCUUGUAAUCAUUAUCUCCUGGUUAAACACAGGGUGCAUCAGGCCUCAGCAUCAAUGCGCCAAAUUGAACCAGUAACAAACGACAUCCUUGUAGUCCAGGGCCUGGACUACCAGGCCUCACUUCUCAAGUCUUCCUCUGUCCUCCACCCUCAUAGGCCAGUUCAAUGCAAAGUCUCCAUUAUGACAUGAGAAGUUACCCCUCCGCUUAGGGAGGGGAAUCAGGCUUACAAUAUCCCUUUUGGGUUGCUAGCAUCAUGGCUCAGCCUCAGCCAUAAUUACUUAUCAAAAGGCUUCCACACAACAUUUGCUCUCGCUUAGCUGGACAGCCAAUAAACAGUUGUGGCCUCGUGGGAGAAGGAGAGAAGCAGAGGUCUGGGGCUGCACAUAAAGUAUGACUUGCAUUCCAGGCACCAGAGUUGGGAUCCAUGCAGUCUGUCUAGCUGAUUAACGCCCCAAUCCUCACUACCUUUCUUUCCUCUAAGACUGGAAUCAUUCUUCGCUAAUCCAAUGACCUCGUUGAUAUUAGUAUUUUGCUCUCCCCAAACUCAACAGAUCAUUUGUUUUGCAUUUUUGGUAAAUCACCCUGAAAAAAAAAAAAAGAAGGUGGCCUUGUAAAAAUGUUUUCUACAUAUAGUUUGAGAACCUAGAGCUUUUGCAAAUAACUGCAUGUGUGUAGAAAAUUUUCUCCUAUAUCUCAUCCCUGCCCCAUAAAUCAUUAAAAAAGGUAUUAUUUUGUUUAGAGAGACCACAGAACAGAAAUAACCCUGUUUUAUCAAGCCCAUCUGGAGAGAUGAACAUGCCUGCAAUCGUUGGGAGAAAGACAGGAAUUGAAAAACGGAAAUUUCACCACCCUCCAGCCAAACUUUCGAGGACUGAUUGCAGAGGAACUGGUGCUCCAGAUGUUGCACUAGAGGCGCUGCAAGUGUGAGCAGAUGGCAGUAGACCUACCUCACAAGUGGGAGCAGAUAUUCUCAAUGUUUCUAUUGAAAUUUCUUUAUCUCCAUUUGCAAGAGGAGCUCUGGAGCCUCAUUCUCGUGGUAGCUACCAAGUUCUGAUAUAAGCUGUUUUCAUCAGGGAACUUUGGCAAGAGAAUGGCUGGAUCAGCAAGUCCAUCUCCAUCAUGGAACAACAACUUGAAGCUCAUCUCUGUUGAUGAGGGAAUUGCUCUGUGUAUAACUGGAUUCAUUGUGCCCAUGAGAGGAGCAAAGUUCAGGAGCCUCCUGUAUUGUCAUUUUGGACUGGAACUCAGAAGCAAGUUUUGAUAGAAAAUCUUAAAAUGUACAGUCUGUAGGAUGGGGGUAGACUGAAUAUCUGCUUCACGGAAUACUUGCUUCAAAUCACCUUUCACAUCUUCUUGUUGGAAAGACAAUCAUUGGAGAAUCGUCUUGUUACUGUCAGCAAAACUGAAAAGAAAUCAAGACAUUAAGAAUGCCACAGUGGCCAGCAGUUAAUGAUGCCAGUGUUAUGCAAGCUUCGGCAAAGGAAUUUUUUUCAAGACAGCGUGCCUCACUAGCCAGAAAUCAGGAAAGGUCGAACCUAUCCUUUUUAUCUCAGCUGUUUCUUCAGUCAGUGCAGCCCCUCCUAAUUAAAGUGAAUUGAAACAUGCAUUGCCUUUUCAGCUUAAUUGAGUACUUACUAUGUGUGAAUCGCUGCACAGAAUAGGGGAGGGAAAAUGAGGGAGACAAAUAAGAUAUUGUCCCUGCCUUCAUUGGAUUUACAGUUAGUUUAAGGGCUUUUUUUGUCUUUUGCUCUUAAUUAAGUGUAUCCCUAAGACAGGAAAUGAAUGGAAAAGUGUAUUCUGUAAGUAUUUGAAAUCUCCUUAAUAUAAGACAAAAUAAAAACUAAUGUGAGCAACUCAGGA